rnacentral:misc_RNA from 1 species
UUGUCGUGCUGACAUCAGAAAACACUCUUCUUCUAUAUUGCGGGAAGCAAUGCCUUUGUGAGUUCAAGUUGUCUCACCUUGGCAAAGAUCAGGUUUUGCAUGAUCCUAAAAUUGUUGGGUUAGCAGAUGCUGUUGAGGAGCGUAUCAAUGUAAUUGUGAACAGUGGACGGAUUUACCGAUGUACUUGGCGCCGCAAUCCAUCAUCGUCCUUGGCAAAUGAUUGUAUCACUGCAAUGGCUG